UCUUUCCUCCCGAGUGCUUGCACUCAAUUGGAAAGAGGAGUGGCGGACGGGUGAGUAACACGUGGGUAACCUACCCAUCAGAGGGGGAUAACACUUGGAGACAGGUGCUAAUACCGCAUAACAGUUUAUGCCGCAUGGCAUAAGAGUGAAAGGCGCUUUCGGGUGUCGCUGAUGGAUGGACCCGCGGUGCAUUAGCUAGUUGGUGAGGUAACGGCUCACCAAGGCCACGAUGCAUAGCCGACCUGAGAGGGUGAUCGGCCACACUGGGACUGAGACACGGCCCAGACUCCUACGGGAGGCAGCAGUAGGGAAUCUUCGGCAAUGGACGAAAGUCUGACCGAGCAACGCCGCGUGAGUGAAGAAGGUUUUCGGAUCGUAAAACUCUGUUGUUAGAGAA
rnacentral:rRNA from 1 species